GCCUCUCUGCAGCUGUCAUGAAGUCCUACAGUUCAUUCAACUGCAGAAAGAGGGAAGGAAUUGGGAGGGAUGUGCUGGCAAUUCUCUAUUAGGCUAAAUGUAUCUCUGUCCUGCAUCAUCUCUUCUAGGUUCAAGCGACUGAGAAGCUUCAUGCAGCCAGAAAGGAGCAAUGAAGUGGCCCCGCUCCAGCACAAGGAACAGCCUGUGGCCAGUGGCGGAGGAAGCCAGAACAUCAAAGAAGAUGGGCACCCAGAGGAGGGGCGAUCUGCCCACCGUGAUGGGGGGAUUCGCCCUUCUAGGGGUGCCAUUGGGGUGCCCAAUGCUCUAGGAGGUGCCAUCGCCUCAGAAAGAACAGAAAAGUGGCCCUGCUGCAGCGCGAGAAGAAGUUUAUGCCUCCAGUUGUGCCGAAGCUCUUCGAGACUCUCCGAAGCCUGAGAAGGCAAUAGCCUACAACAGCUGCCGCAAAUGUGCCCAGCACCCAAAGAAGGUAAAUGAAUCUCCACACCCUGGGGACUUUCCACUUAGUAGCUUUA